GUGUCAGCAGCCGCGGUAAAACGUAGGACACGAGCGUUAUCCGGAGUUACUGGGCGUAAAGGGCAGGUAGGCGGACAGGCAAGUUGGGUGUGAAAUCUCCCUGGCUUAACCGGGAGGGUGCACUCGAAACUGCUUGACUGGAGGGCGGCAGAGGAGCGUGGAAUUCCGGGUGGAGUGGUGAAAUGCGUAGAGAUCCGGAGGAACACCAGAGGCGAAAGCGGGGCUCUGGGCCGCACCUGACGCUGAACUGCGAAAGCCAGGGUAGCGAACGGGAUUAGAUACCCCCGUAGUCC
rnacentral:rRNA from 1 species